GAUGAACGCUGGCGGCGUGCUUAACACAUGCAAGUCGAACGAAGCAUUUAGAACGGAUUACUUCGGUUUGAAGUUCUUUAUGACUGAGUGGCGGACGGGUGAGUAACGCGUGGGUAACCUGCCUUGUACUGGGGGAUAGCAGCUGGAAACGGCUGGUAAUACCGCAUAAGCGCACAAUGUUGCAUGACAUGGUGUGAAAAACUCCGGUGGUAUAAGAUGGACCCGCGUCUGAUUAGCUAGUUGGUGAGAUAACAGCCCACCAAGGCGACGAUCAGUAGCCGACCUGAAGGGGUGACCGGCCACAUUGGGACUGAGACACGGCCCAGACUCCUACGGGAGGCAGCAGUGGUGAAUAUUGCACAAUGGAGGAAACUCUGAUGCAGCGACGCCGCGUGAGUGAAGAAGUAAUUCGUUAUGUAAAGCUCUAUCAGCAGGGAAGAUAGUGACGGUACCUGACUAAGAAGCUCCGGCUAAAUACGUGCCAGCAGCCGCCGUAA
rnacentral:rRNA from 1 species